ACACACACACAUACACACACACACACACACACACACACUAAUUAGGAGAAUCCUCAAUGAUAUAUAAUACAAGAGAAAAAAGAGGCCCAAGUGGGAAAUAAAGCAUAAAUGAAGAAAAAAAAACAUUCUCUAAUAUGUAGUAAUCUAAUAGCAGUGUUAACUUUACACAGCUGUCAAUUCAGUUAAGUGUGAGUCAGAAUUUCCAAUUAGGGUUAACAAAGACUCCUAAAACAUCCCUUUUAUUCAAGUAAUCAGAUGUCCUAUUACAACUGGAAGGCCAGCAUGAUAUAUAGUUUGGCGCUUAGGACCCUUUCUAUUUUCCUUUUCACAAUUCUUGGCUAUUUAAAUUGCCCUCUCAGGAAAGCUAAAAUAGGUGUGAUUGUUAGGAUAUAGGAGAAAACAUUAGGGUCUCAAGUCUCUUUGGGAUUCUAUGAAGGAUUCUAACAUUUCUGAGAGGUACCUUGUGGCCGAAUAUGCUAGCUCUACAACAUCUCUGUUUUUAUCGAUGUUCUACACUGGAUUGUCUUCUAGGCUCUGGUUUAAAGAAAGAAUUCAACGGGUAAAAAUAGUAAUAUGAAAAAUUCCAGAGUCACUGUCUUUGAUUUACAUACAUCUGUUAGUGACAGAUACCUCUGUACAUUAUCAAAUCCUAAACAUUUCAUCUUUUUCUCAUGAUAUACUACAAUGUUAAUGGUUGGUACUACUUAGGAGAUUAAACUAUCUUUUAUACCAUGUAGCAGUUUAGAUUAAUCCUUUUAACUGUAUGAGUGUGCACAUAUGAAAGACCUUUCAUACUUAUCUAGAUCAGUCCUUGUAUUCCUGUUUUAUCUAGGCAACUAGGUAAUUAUGAGGUAUUUUGAUGGAAACCAGCUUUUAAAUGUGGCAGAGCCUUAUCUUUAACAUAAAUAUUUUGGUAAACUAUCUCACAGGGGCAUCUUUAUCACAACUUUAAUUAAGACCACAUUUGUACUGGAAAAGUUUAAGUCUUAAUUUUAAUAGCUUUUUUUGUCAUUUUGGAAAUGUUUGUCCUAAUGAGUAGGCAGCUUACUUGUGUGUGCAUUGCACACAGUAACAUAAUGAAUGCUUAAUAUUAGCUAUAAUUGCAUACUGACAAUGUGAAUGUCUUUUGAAAAAUGAUUGCUGGUUUUGUUUUUCAAAGGUAAUGGAAACCCUUAUACAUGUCAAUAAACUGCAGCAGAAGCCCCAGCAGGAAUAGUUGAGAGGCAAAUGGAAUGAAGCUGUGGCAUUAAAGCAUUUGAGGAGUUUGUAAUUCUAAACUAAAAAUAGUUUUUUUCCUAUAAUGGUGUAUUUUUUAAGUUAUUUUUUAUUUAUUGGCAGAGAAAAAAUUUCCCUGUAGCUAAUAUCUUUUGUCAUCUGAUUGCAUGUGGUCAAAAGUUCUAUCUUUACAGCAAUCUGUGCGUUUUGUUCAUCAAAUAAAAAAGGAAAGGACUCUCUGCUUUCUAUUUGACUGUUAAUAGUUCAAAUAUUAUCUUGUUGCUAAACAAAGUAUACUUAAUAUAUAUUUUCAUUUUAUUGCUGUAAUAUAACCUCAUUCAUACAUGUUAAUAUUUUCAGACCAAUUUAAGAGUCAGUUUAUAUGAUAGGAUAUAAUACACUGUCCUUUGUUCAGUUAAGUUGAAUUCAAUGCUUUAAGAAGACUGACAUGGGACGGGGGAAGAUGUAGCAGCCUCUUCUCUGAACCACCCCUUUGCCUCUGGACUUCUCUGGGGCCAGCAGCCGCCUGAGCAGGGGCCAGGGGCCGCGGGCUCAGCCAACGACCAUGGGCUCCGUGUCCAACCAGCAGUUUGCAGGUGGCUGCGCCAAGGCGGCGGAGGAGGCGGCGGAGGAGGCGGCGGAGGAGGCGCCGGAGGACGCGGCCCGGGCUGCGGACGAGCCGCAGUUGCUCCACGGUGCUGGCAUCUGUAAGUGGUUUAACGUGCGCAUGGGGUUCGGCUUCCUGUCCGUGACCGCCCGCGCCGGGGUGGCCCUCGACCCCCCCUGUGGACGUCUUUGUGCACCGGAAUAAGCUGCACAUGGAAGGCUUCCGGAGCCUGAAGGAGGGUGAGGCAGUUGAGUUCACCUUUAAGAAGUCUGCCAAGGGCCUGGAAUCUAUCCGAGUCACUGGACCUGGUGGGGUGUUCUGUAUUGGGAGUGAGAGGCGGCCAAAGGGGAAGAACAUGCAGAAGCGCAGAUCAAAAGGAGACAGGUGCUACAACUGUGGAGGUCUAGACCAGCAUGCUAAGGAAUGCAAGCUGCCACCCCAGCCCAAGAAGUGCCACUUCUGCCAGAGCAUCAGCCACAUGGUAGCCUCGUGUCCACUGAAGGCCCAGCAGGCCCCUAGCGCACAGGGAAAGCCAGCCUACUUUCGGGAGGAAGAAGAAGAGAUCCACAGCCCUGCCCUGCUCCCAGAGGCCCAGAAUUGAGCCACAGUGGGUGGGGGCUAUUCUUUUGCUAUCAGGAAGUUUCAAUGAGCAGCAGAGUGGAGAAAGUGGGGAUAGGGUGGGUUGGGGGUGGUUGGCACUGCCAUGUAUCUCAGGCCGGGUUCAUGGCAUCACCGCUUCUUCCUUCUUGGUGGGGGGAAAGGGUGAGGCAAAGGAACCCUACCCAUGCUCUAUCCAAAUGCAAGGGAGGGCUUUAUGGGGAAAUCACCCCAGAACCUGAAUGCUUUAUCUGAGACUCCAUCCCGGAAUCUCUAGCUUUUGAAAGUGGCCUGGAUAGGAAGUUGUUUUCCUUUUAAAGAAGGAUAUGUAAUAAUAUGAUGCCCAUGCCAGAGUGAAACGAUUAAGUACAAGACCGGACUAAUGGACCCCACCCAUAAGCCACUACAUUCUGUGGGAGGGAAUCUCAGGAGUAAGGCAGGGUUUUUUCCAUAUCUUGUAUUCUUAUACCCAUUCUUGAGAUAGGGUGCUGGGAACUGUCCCAAGUGAUGGGUAGUGAUGAUAGGCAGAAAGGGUGGUUGGGGGAACAGCUGCAGACCUGCUGCUCCUAAGCUCACUCCCACCCCAUUCCGGGCCAAUGUGAUUUUACUUAUUUGCUCCCUUGGAUAACUGCACCUUGGGUCCCACUUUCUCCAGGAUGCCAACUGCACUAGCUAUGUGCGAAUGACAUAUCUUGUGCAUUUUAACUUUUUUUUCUUAAUAUAAAUAUUCUGGUUUUGUAUUUUUGUAUAUUUUAAUCUAAGGCCCUAAUUCCUGCACUGUGUUCUCAGGUACAUGAGCAAUCUCAGGGAUAAGUUGGGCAGCAUCUCCAGGUCUGCACAGCAGGAAUGGUUUUUGUUGUUUUUAUCACCAUACAGAGCAACUAUUUGGAGUGCACAGCCUAUUGAACUACCUCAUUUUUGCCAAUUAGAGCUGUCUUUUCUGCCAUAGUAUCUACUUGAAACCCCUUCCACCUUGAAAACGUUUCAUGGGAGACUAGGUUCUAACUGGGUUGCCC